UCAGCCGGCCGGGCGGCCGCUCCGCCUUUGGGUGGGGAGGAAAGUCCGGGCUCCAUGGAGAGGCGGUGCCGGAUAACUUCCGGCGGGGGCGACCCCAGGGAAAGUGCCACAGAGAGCAGACCGCCUUGCCAAGGCUCGUCCUUCGCAAGGUCAGGGUGAAAGGGUGCGGUAAGAGCGCACCGCGGACGCGGCAACGCGGACGGCACGGCAAACCCCACCGGGAGCAAAACCGAAUAGGGGCGACACGCCCUCUCCGCGAGGAGAGGGCAGGCCCACUCUCCAGGCUCGUCGCCCGGGUUGGUUGCUCGAGGCGGCCGGCAACGGCCGUCCCAGAGGAAUGGCUGCCACGCCCGUGAGUUCAUCUCACGGGCCCUACAGAACCCGGCUUACAGGCCGGCUGAUCCA
rnacentral:RNase_P_RNA from 1 species